rnacentral:rRNA from 1 species
GAUGAACGCUGGCGGCGUGCCUAAUACAUGCAAGUCGAGCGAACGGACGAGAAGCUUGCUUCUCUGAUGUUAGCGGCGGACGGGUGAGUAACACGUGGAUAACCUACCUAUAAGACUGGGAUAACUUCGGGAAACCGGAGCUAAUACCGGAUGAUAUUUUGAACCGCAUGGUUCAAAAGUGAAAGACGGUCUUGCUGUCACUUAUAGAUGGAUCCGCGCUGCAUUAGCUAGUUGGUAAGGUAACGGCUUACCAAGGCAACGAUGCAUAGCCGACCUGAGAGGGUGAUCGGCCACACUGGAACUGAGACACGGUCCAGACUCCUACGGGAGGCAGCAGUAGGGAAUCUUCCGCAAUGGGCGAAAGCCUGACGGAGCAACGCCGCGUGAGUGAUGAAGGUCUUCGGAGCGUAAAACUCUGUUAUUAGGGAAGAACAUAUGUGUAAGUAACUGUGCACAUCUGGACGGUACCUAAUCAGAAAGCCACGGCUAACUACGU